CUUCAUCCACAGUGUGAAAUGAGGCCAUGC
rnacentral:piRNA from 1 species